UAGCACUGCAUGACCCCCAUAAAUCCCCCCCUAAACCCUUGUUGCCCGCGUUCGUCGUGAACAAACAGCUGAAGACAGAAAGCUAUAGUCAAAGCCAAGAUUUCUUCUACUUUUUCCUGUAAAAACUUUCCAAAAAGCUUGGGGUUCGAUCGGCACAGAUGGUGGCGAUGAUGAUUCGUCAGGGUGGGACCCGGCUUUCCGGUUCCAUGAUGGCCUCGUUGGGAGCACGCCUCUUCUCUCAUUCCGCUGCCGGUACUACUAGUAUCGCCGGCCGUGGCUUCGCCUCGGGUGGAAACUCGUCGCUAGUCGGUUUCUUGCGCGGGAGUAUUCCGGCCAAUGAUGCUGGCGUGAAUUGGAUUGUAGGGGUGCGGAGCUGCAGCACGGUAGCGCAGCAGCAGGUGCAGAAUAGUGGUGCGAGUCAUCCUUCGAGUGCCGCUCAGGCAGCUGACAGUACUAAGGAAGAGAAGGAGAUUGUGAGUUACUGGGGCGUGCCGCCUGUGAAGGUUGUGAACAAGGACGGCACCGUAUGGAAGUGGGACUGCUUUAGGCCAUGGGAGACGUACCAAGCGGACCUGUCGAUUGAUCUGAAGAAGCACCACGUGCCUUUGAACUUAUUGGACAAAUUGGCUUAUUGGAUGGUCAAAGUCCUCAGGAUGCCCACUGACCUGUUCUUUCAGAGGCGAUAUGGAUGCCGGGCAAUGAUGCUAGAAACUGUGGCAGCUGUUCCCGGCAUGGUUGGAGGCAUGAUGCUGCAUUGCAAGUCACUGAGGCGAUUCGAGCAGAGCGGUGGUUGGAUCAAAGCACUGCUGGAAGAAGCCGAGAAUGAGCGCAUGCACCUCAUGACAUUCAUGGAGGUAACCAAGCCUAGGUGGUACGAUCGUGCACUGGUGAUUUCUGUCCAAGCUGUCUUCUUCAAUGCUUACUUCUUAGGCUAUAUGAUAUCUCCCAAAUUUGCUCACCGAGUGGUCGGUUACCUGGAAGAGGAGGCAAUACACUCGUACACUGAGUUCCUCGAGGAAUUGGACAAAGGUAACAUCAAGAACGUGCCAGCUCCGGCCAUUGCCAUCGAUUACUGGCAGCUUCCUCCCGACGCCACCUUACGUGAUGUUGUCAUGGUGGUAAGAGCAGAUGAGGCACACCACCGCGAUGUCAAUCACUUCGCAUCCGACGUGCAUUUUCAUGGACGCGAGUUGAAGGAUGUUUCUGCUCCACUUGGAUAUCACUAAUUAGUCUUAUAAUUUUGGCUGCUUGGUGUACGUGAGAAAGUCACUCACAAGUUUUAAUCUCUUGAUUGAAUAAGUUUGUUUUGAAGAAGGCAGCAAACGGUGGAACCCACUACCCAAGAAAAACAGUUGCUGCCCUUGAGAGUAAUCCACCACCAAAUCUUACAAGUUGCCGGUUAGAAAACUUGGUGUCAACAGACAGAUGAAAGAUGGAGGUAUUAUUGCCCUUUUGCAAAUCCGGGGAAAGAAAAUUUCAAGAUCAGGAGGAAUGGAACUUGGAAGCACUGGCAUGAGCUGAGGAUAUGGACAUUAUUCACUUUAGUCGGACAAAAGAAGAGCUAUUUUGAUAGGACCAGCAGACUCGGCUUCCCUUUCUGUCAGCAAUGGCCACCGAAGCA